UAGCGAAGGGGGCUAGCGUUGACUCGGAAUCAGCUAGGGCGUAAAGGGUGCGUAGGCGGUCUUUAAGGUCAGGGGUGAAAUCCUGGAGCUCAACUCCCAGUAACUGCCUUUGAUACUGAAGAUCUUGGAGUUCGGGAGAGGUGAGUGGAACUGCGAGUGUAGAAGGUGAAAUUCGUAGAUAUUCGCAAGAACACCAGUGGCGAAGGCGGCUCACUGGCCCGAUACUGACGCUGAGGCACGAAAGCGUGGGGAGCAAACAGG
rnacentral:rRNA from 1 species